GCCCAAGGUCACAGUAACAGACCCAGAAGUUAAGACGCAGCGUCUUUUGGUUUAACGUCCUUUUCCCUAUUCUGCCAUGGCCUCAGACCAGGGACCCAGAUGCUGCAAAGUAGCUUUCUCUUGUCUUCCUUCUCUUCCUGGUAACUGCCCAGAGAUGCCCGGUAAGAGCAUCAGAAAGGGCUCCUUAAAAAGAGUGGUGUGUGGGCUUCCCUGGUGGUGCAGUGGUUGAGGGCCCGCCUGCCGAUGCAGGGGACACGGGUUUGUGCCCCGGUCCGGGAAGAUCCCACAUGCCGCGGAGCGGCUGGGCCCGUGAGCCAUGGCCGCUGAGCCUGCGUGUGUGGAGCGGCCCCAACAGUGAGAUGCCCGCAUACUGCAAAAAAAAGAAAAGAGUGGUGAUGGCGAGAGGCAGCUCCGAGAAGGAAGGAGAGAGCCUGGUGGAGGAUCUGGAGGGCUGAGCCCACCGUCCCUGUCCCCACCCCCUUCCCUUCCUCGGGCUCUUCAGGCUGACCCCCAAAGAGCAUGUGAACCUGCGUGGCUCCCUCCCCCACCCGCACAUGACUGCUGUCUUCUCCCCCAGCCACCUUCUGCUUCCUCUUCCUCUCCGCUGUUUCCUCUUUCCCUCCUUACACAGCAGACUGAUGUGCACCUCCCUGGCUUUGGGUGGGGCGGUCGGCCUCAGGGGCCACGCACUGGUCUAGAAGGCAGCCAGGCUUUGGGGGUGGUCUGUAUGGAUGGCCAAGGCCUUACUUCUUCCCGUCAAGCUGUGCCACCUGAGUGCUGAGGUCAGAGCUGAGCGGUCCCGAAGCAACGCCAGAACUGGGGGCAGACACCAGGGUCGGAGUCCCUGCAACCCACAACGCCCCAUCUGAUUGUCCCCAAACUGGUGUGCGGGGUGGGCACGGGGUGGGCGGUAGCACUGCUCUCGUUUUGCCGUCUGGCUCGUGCCUCCUCCCCUGGGUCCUUCAUGCUGUGGAGAAGGAGUAGGUGAGGGUGGGCCACGGGCUAAGCCUCCAGGGAAUCCCGAGAGGAGAGUCCUCAUCUUAGCUCCCUGGGGAGGAGGGCCCCGCCACCACCAACGCAUUCCCGCCUGUGCUCUUUGCGUAGCUGCUCUUCAGAAGAGAGACCACCAACUACCCGCUGACCACUUCUUCCAAACCCUACCAGCUCUCACACUCCUCCAGAGUUUUUCCAGGUACCUAAACGAAACCACGUGCUGUAGCUAAAAGCCACAUCUUUUCAUUCUGUCUGAGCACCCAGGCUUCCCCUGCCUAGAUUCCUUCUCAAGGCAAAGCAAUCUAGCCUAUAUUUUCCUCUCUCCUAAAAAAGACCAUUAUCUUAUCUACUCAUUCCUUCUAGAAAGUCCCUGGCUCCUUGUGCUACUGGCCAAUGGCUCCCUUCUCUGGGAAGGAUCUUGGGACCGAGCCCUGUGUCAACCUGAUGUCUCUGAGCAAAUGCCCAGGUUCCAUCUGGAGGAGGGGCAUCAGGUGGAGGAGUCCUUAGGCUGGGUCUCAGCCCCGAGAGGGCUCUGUUCCUCUGUUCUCAGAGGCCCUCCCAGACCUGGCCUGUCCCCGUCCCAUCUUGUCAGUGGAAGGCCUGGCUCAGGGCUCUGCCCUGUGCUGUCUGUUCCAGGCUGACCUUUCCCUACCAGGGUGUCCCAGUGGCGGUGGAGGGCUUGGCAGGGGGCGGGGUGACGGCAUUGUCACCAUCAGCCUGGUUCUUACUGUCGCCAGCCCUCUCUCCUUUUCAGAUCUGCUGAGUCCCAGGACAGGCACGUCCAGGGACAGGCCACCAAGUGGUACUUUCCUCCGGGCAAGUGUCAAGGUCACCUGCAGCUACAGCCAGUCCAGUCUGCCCCCACCUGAGUAGCCCCAGACAUCUACCAGCUGCCCCAGACUUGGCUUAAGGGCUGGGCUAAGGCAGGAAGUGGUAGGAAUUGGUCAGUGAGGGAGUUUAAUUCCCUGUCGGCCUGCCAUGGGGAUAGGAGCCAUCAGCACCGUCAGCAAUGUGGUUGCAAAGCAGGGAGCGGGGUGCAGGGACCGGGAGCUGACUGGGCAGACACUGGAGAGAAGGCACCUCUUCCCACUGUCUCCUGAGGUCAGCAUUCUUCUGCUGGGCUACUUCUUGUUUUCUGUUGUGAUGGUGGUGGUAGUAGGUCCUUUGGGGGUUCUGUUUGUCAUCUGUUGCUGCUUUGGCAGUCGUCGUUCUUUGCCCCUAAGCUGAGAAGCGUUUCUAGUGCAGAGUCUUAAUGAGGUCCAUAAAGCUAUUAGCGUGCUCAUUUGGAAGAAUAAAUUGGACUGUCAGCUAAUAGUUAAGAGAUAGCUAGUCCACCUCUCUAUCUGACUUGGUUACUCAGUAACCAGUGCCGUGUAGGGGAAGGUGAGACUCUCAAAGUGCCAUCUCUCGCUAACACAGACUCAGAGGGUCAUGGGGUGGGCACCCUGCCCGGAACAGUCUGUGGGCCUCGCCACGCACGUUCCUGGGUCUCUGGCCUGCUUGCCCAGCCUGGCCAACACCUGGGCUGCCAUCCCUCCCCCUCUGGGGCAAGCCAGGCGAAGCCCGACUGUGUAUUUUCCCCCCUGCUCCCUUUCUGGGGCUCUUGUUUCUGCAAGAAGGGCUUGUGAAAGCAGAAGUGAAACUUGCGGGUUCUACAGGCAGCAGGAGCACAUCAGCUAUCUUCCCUGUGAGCUACUGUGAGUUCGACAGCCUUUGUGUCAGCCCAGCCCUUCACCGGACCCAUGUCCCCAGUCCCCUUUGAACUAUGGCACCUUGGCCUUUUUCUCAGAAGAGCUGCCAGAGUGGAAAGGAAAGAGGACUUGACUAAGGGGAGGCCCCGGGUAUGCUCUGCCCAGCUAGCUGUGCCCCUCUGGGCUCAUGCCGCCAUGGUGCUGCGGUCCAGGCAGGGAGUCCCAGAGGAGGCCAGUGCCCAUCCUAGCAUCGCACAGCAGGUUGAGGUCCUUCUGCCCCACCGCCUCCCUCCCUGUGACUCUCCUGCUAUCUUGGGUGUCAGGUUUUCUACUGAGGGAUGGGGUUAGAGCUGAGAGGUCAGGCCGAGCUUCUGGACAGGGCUGGAACCUGGCAGAUCUGCAUGACUGUGGAUCUCUGCUAAGUCUCCCUGUCUACUCCCAAGGGAGAACAUGGGUGGGCCCAGUGGACCAGCCUCUGCUCUCUCCCCGUGGCAGGCUCCCGCAUGCGCACUGGUAGCUUCGGGGCAUCUUCGUGUUCCUCUAGCCCACCUCUGUGUACUAGGCAUGUGGGAGGCGUGGCCAUGCUGGCCUCCAGAUCCCUACCUUACAGGCAAAUCCAGGGCCUGGAACCACCACCGCUCAGAGGAUUUUGGUGCUAACCCACACCCUGCUCACCUCCCGUAACAGAGCAGCGCGGGCUGCCUCCGCCGCCUCCAGCUUUCCUUCCUCAAAAUCUGAAAUCGUAGUAGCUGUCAUUUUUAAGUGUCCACUGGGUGUGAGGAACAUGUAAGAGCUGUCCUGUGCAUCGUCUCAUCAACCUGUCAAUAGCCCUCUGAGAAAGGUGAUAAACACUACUUUGCAGACCGCUAACAGGUGUAAGGAAUGAAAUCAGGUUUCGCCUGAUUCCUAAGUCCUUGCUCUUUUCUCUUACAGACACCAGCUCCCUGAGAUGCACCACCGAGGGUCUCCCUAGAGGGUGGCUGGCAGUGUGGAUGAGGCAGAGGGAACCAGCCCUACCUUCUGCGAGGAAGCUUGUCUGGAGCUUCCCAAACUAAUCAGCAGGGCAGAGCUUAGCCUGGGAGGUGUCCGGAACCCUCCGACCUAGAAAAUCCCACCCCUCUUCAGUGACUCCCCAUCACCCCAAGAGACAGUCGAAACUCACCCUAGGCCCUCCAUGACCUGUCCGCUCCCUCCUUCCCCACUCCUUCACCUUCCAUGCUUGGCCCAGUCCCACCUUCCAGACCUCUGGCUACAUAGCGUUCCCCAGUCAGGUAUCAUUGCUGUUCACGCCUCCGCACUUUGGCACACGUACUUCCCUCUCCCUGGCGCCGCUUCCCGCCCCAGCCCUGGUGGACCUGGCCACCUCCUGCUUGUUUGUGAAGAUUCGGCUGAAGUCUCACCUCCUGAAUCCUUUCCUGACACUGCUCCCAUCCCAGCUGGUCUCGGCGUCCCUGCUUCCGUGUCAUGCAGGGCUGCCCUCUUUUAUGGCACUGUCGCACCAAUUCUGUUUGUCUCCCUGCUGACCUGCGAGCCCCUGGAGGGCAGAGGUCUCUCUUACAGCUUCUCUGGGUCCCUAGCACAGUGCCUGGCACAUGGCAGGAUGUGGAUGGGAAGGCAGUCCUGUUUCUGCCAGAGAGAAUCGAGAUGUCAGAAAUGGGCCUGGGUGUGCCUGCCGUCCUGUCUGAGCAUCUGCCGCGCAAGGUUGGGAGGGACAGGACUCCAGAAGGCAGAUAAGGAGGCACACCGGGGACCACAGGCUGGAGAAAGCCAGGGCAGGUGACCUGCGGUGGGCAGGUGUUGGCACUUGGGGCUGAAGCAGUGUCGUGGUGGGAGGAGCGAGGGAGGAGCAAGGUGGCUGCCAGCGGGGCUGUGCCUUUCGACCCCUCAUUGUGUCUGAGCAUCUCCUGCGUGGGCUCGGCAUGGCUGAGUUGUAGCCUGGGCCUCCCUGCCUGGCCUGUCAAGGAAGGACGGUCAGUGCUGGGGGCGCUCAGUGGGGCCCGGGGAUCCUUCAGGCCCAGGGGAGAUCUGAUCUGUCACCAGGGUCAAUGGCUGUAUCCAGGUGGCAGCCGAGAUAGACUCAGCUGAUCCCGGGGGGUCGUAAAGGUGGCCCAACAGACACGUAGGGACUAGGGUGAGAGUUACACUGUGUUCCCUGGUCUUCGAGCUAGAUGUGGUUGGCACUGUCCUCCGUGGGCAUCUAAUGAGGAAACCGGAGGCAAAAAAGGCUUAGGAACUUUCAUUUGGUUACACAGUAAAUUAGAGUCAUCCCUCAAAGCUUUCAGCUUUUUUCCGGACUCAGCAGCUCCCCGGGCAGGACACUGGUGAGUGUUAUCUGUAGGGCUGUGAUUUUCUUCCAUCUUGUGCACUUUGAAGAAGCCUCACUGGGCAGCCUCUCGAGUUCUCUCAGAGACACCCCCAACCCUGCCACCAGAUUCUGGAAGUUCCUGAGGUAGGAGUCACAUGAGCCAUUUGCCAAGUGGAAAACAUUGCUGCCACCAAGCUUGUGUAUGUCACAGGGUCACUGUGACAGUCCCUUGGAGUAACCCCAGAUUCCCUGGAGAACCCCUGGUGACUCCCCCGCAGCCAUGCACCCUCGGCAAUGGGGAGCCAGAGAGGCUGGGCGGUAGAGAGAGCAUAAGAUUCAAGCUAGAGAGAGCUUCGUUCUUAGUGGAACGGAGAGCCACGGAGAAACGUUAAGCCAGGUGACGGCGGGGGCACGUGUACCUUCAGUCUCUUCAGAAGAUAAACUGUGAGGCAGUGGAGGGAACGAGGCAGAGAACGAGUCCAGGGGUGAAGGGCCUGAAUGCAGCUUCUGCUGAAACACCCCUUCAUCUCACAUGCAGCAGCCUUCACGACAUGCUUGGGAGGAAGUGAUUUGGGGUUCGGAGGCAGAUGCCUGGAGAGGGCAGACUGAGCCUCCAGCGUCCUGGUCCUUUGGUUCGUGGAUCCCAGGGAUAGAAAGGGUUUCAGGCCCCCUUCCCCUUCUUCCCCACCUUCUCCAUGGGCUCUUUAAGAAACCAAGGCUCUGGUCUUUCUCCUGGGCUGGAGUCCACGCUGAGGUCUAUUUUCCAUGUACUUCCUGGCUCCCGGCUGCUGACUCGUCUCAGCUGAUGCUGUGACUCAGGAGGACCUGGAAGCCCUUCCUCAGAGCCUCGGCAGAAGGGGAAGGGGGAGCACGCAGUGGAAACUUCAGUGGUGCCUGGCUGAACUGUUCUUUCCGCCCCAGACCAGCACAUGGGAUGAGAAGCACUGUGUGAGAGGCCCAUGUGAUGUGUGAGCCGCAGAUGGAAAGGAUGACCCCUCCGUCCAGUGGAACGGACUAGGGCAGAGGACCUGGGUUCUGUCACCAGCUUUCCCUCUGUUGCCACAUUUCCAGCUAGGUUUGGGCUCCGCCCCUCCUGGGCUGCAGCAGGUGCUGUUUCUGCCGUGUUCUAGGCUUGAGAGCAGUGUCGACUUCACUUUAUUUCAUUUAUUUAUUUUUAAAAUUAAUUAAUUUAUUUUUGACUGCAUUGGGUCUUCUUUGCCGCGCGUGGGCUUUCUCUAGUUGCGGCGAGCAGGGGCUGCUCUUUGUUGUAGCGUGCGAGCUUCUCAUUGCGGUGGCUUCUCUUGUUGCGGAGCACGGGCUCUAGGCACGCAGGCUUCAGUAGUUGUGGCUCACGGGCUCUAGAGCGCAGGCUCAGUAGUCGUGGCGCACGGGCUCAGUUGCUCCACGGCAUGUGAGAUCUUCCCGGACCAGGGCUCGAACCCGUGUCCCCUGCGUUAGCAGGCGGAUUCUUAACCACUACGCCACCAGGAAAGUCCUGACCUCACUUUAAAGACAGACCCUUCUCCCACAUCAGCCUCCUGCCGGCUUCCAGCAUGUCCAGUAUUUUAAAUACAAUUCUAUCUCCCUGCCCCCAUCUCUCACACACACAGAGGCACCCUGAUCUUAGUGAGGCCAGAGAGAAGCAGAGGUGAUGGGCAGUGGUAAGAGCAGGAGGGGGUACUUUGGUGUCGUCUAGGGCGCUGAUGCUGGGCUAGCUCUGUCGGGAGGCCUCGGUAGCAGGAGCAGGGACAUGGGGCCCCCCGAGCACUCUGGCCUCUGGCGUCUGUUCCUACCCUCCCCUUGGCCUCUGCCCCGAGGAACUGGUGUCUGGAGGGGAGCCUGAUGUAGAAGAGUUGGUGGUGCUGGGGCUCUGAGGCUGCUAGGAUGGGCACAGGUGCAUGCUUCCUGGACACAGUAGAGGUGGAGGUCCGAGCGCCCUGCCAGCCCAGCUGUUCACCUCUCCCUGCAGGUACCGCGGCUUCAUCCUGCUGAUCACUUUCCUCAUCUACACCUGUUAUCACAUGUCCAGGAAGCCCAUCAGUGUCGUCAAGAGCCGUCUGCACCACAACUGCUCAGAGAUGAUCCAGCCCAUCGGCGACACCCACAGGCUCAACGACACCACGUGGUGCAACUGGGCCCCGUUUGACCAGAGCAACUACAAGGAACUCCUGGGGGCAGUGGACAACGCCUUCCUCGUGGCCUAUGCCAUCGGCAUGUUUAUCAGUGGCAUUUUUGGGGAGCGGCUCCCCCUCCGUUACUACCUUACAGCCGGAAUGCUGCUCAGCGGCCUUUUCACCUCGCUCUUUGGCCUGGGGUAUUUCUGGAACAUCCACGCGCUCUGGUACUUUGUUCUUAUCCAGAUCUGCAACGGACUCGUCCAGACCACGGGCUGGCCCUCCGUGGUGACCUGUGUGGGCAACUGGUUCGGGAAGGGGAAGCGGGGGCUCAUCAUGGGCAUCUGGAAUUCCCACACAUCCGUGGGCAACAUCCUGGGCUCCCUGAUCGCCGGCGUCUGGGUGGAUGAGCAGUGGGGCCUGUCCUUUGUGGUGCCCGGCAUCAUCACCGCCGUCAUGGGCCUCAUCACCUUCUUCUUCUUAAUUGAAUACCCAGAGGACGUGGACUGCUCACCCCCUCAGCACCAUGGUGAGCUGGAAGAGAACGGGGACAACGCUGAGGACCCUGGCAAUGGACCCCACUCUAACAGAGGGAACGGCCGGGAGUCUGCUGUCACCUUGUCCAAGGAGCCAAGUGCUCAGCCCGCUGCCAUCAGCUUUUUUGGGGCGCUCUGGAUCCCGGGUGUGGUCGAGUUCUCCUUGUGUCUGCUGUUUGCCAAGCUGGUCAGUUACACCUUCCUCUACUGGCUGCCCCUCUACAUCUUCAAUGUGGUUCACUUUACUGCCAAGGAGUCUGGGGACCUGUCCACGCUCUUCGAUGUUGGUGGCAUCGCAGGCGGCAUCCUGGCGGGGCUCAUCUCUGACUACACCAACGGCAGGGCCACCACCUGUUGCGUCAUGCUGAUCUUGGCUGCCCCCACGAUGUUCCUGUACAACUACGUUGGCCAGAGUGGGAUCAGCAUCUCCAUAGUAAUGCUGCUCACCUGUGGAGCCCUGGUCAACGGCCCUUAUGCCCUCAUCACCACUGCCGUCUCGGCUGACCUGGGGACUCACAAGAGCCUGAAGGGCAACGCAAAGGCGCUCUCCACCGUCACGGCCAUCAUCGACGGCACUGGAUCCAUAGGUGCGGCUCUGGGGCCUCUGCUGGCCGGGCUCAUAUCCCCCACAGGCUGGAACAACGUCUUCUACAUGCUCAUCACUGCCGACAUCCUGGCUUGCUUGCUCCUCUGCCGGUUGGUGUACAAAGAGAUCCUGGGCUGGCGGUCAUCCCUGAGUAGAGACAGAGGCUCUAGUGUGGCCCUAACCCACGCGCGGUAGUAUUUUCCUCAAGUCCCGUGACUUUUGUAUAGAGAAAUGUGAGGACCCGAUCGCAGCAGAAACUUGGAGGGCCCUCGCCGGGUCCCACAGUGCACCCCCCCAGGAGGCCGAGGCAAAGCCUCCGGGCCCAGCACCAGCCAGCGCAGCCCACGAGGCUUCCACGGGCUAGGAGACUCUCCACCGGAAGGGGACCACCAAGCUUGAGGCCACGGAAGACUCAAGGGCCUUGUUGGAGGACGGAGGGGACGCAAAGUGCCCACUGAACUAAGGCACCUUGAGACCAAGAAAUGAGGGGGCAGCUCCAUGCGAUCAAGACCACAAGUGAAGAAUAGAAUAUUCCGAAGUAUUGCUUUGGAAAUAGAGAUGAAAGAUUGAACUCCAUGGACUACAGCAUCCCUUCCAAUCCUGAGCUUUUAUGCUCCCGCGACGAUAAUCAGCGCUUCUCCAGACUCAUUUCCAUGCAGUUCCCAUUCCCGUGUCUGGAAACUUGCUCCUAUGUAAUAAGAGCCAAAUACUUGAAGCUUUAUGCCAAGAAGUCAUGAUAAAAUGCUUUUUAUUUGUACCAUAAAUGUUAAUUAGGAAUUCUUUAAUGAAACGUUUACAUUUUUUGGAUACGGGUCAGGGGAAUGGUGGGUACACACAGCUA